CAGAGAAUAGUUUAAUAAAAAAUAAUAAUUUUGGAGAUUAAUGAUGGGAGUUGAUCUUUUCUCUGA
rnacentral:tRNA from 1 species